GAUGAACGCUGGCGGCGUGCUUAACACAUGCAAGUCGAACGGUGAAGCAGGAGCUUGCUCUUGUGGAUCAGUGGCGAACGGGUGAGUAACACGUGAGCAACCUGCCCCUGACUCUGGGAUAAGCGCUGGAAACGGCGUCUAAUAUUGGAUAUGUGAUGUGACCGCAUGGUCUGCAUCUGGAAAGAAUUUCGGUUGGGGAUGGGCUCGCGGCCUAUCAGCUUGUUGGUGAGGUAAUGGCUCACCAAGGCGUCGACGGGUAGCCGGCCUGAGAGGGUGACCGGCCACACUGGGACUGAGACACGGCCCAGACUCCUACGGGAGGCAGCAGUGGGGAAUAUUGCACAAUGGGCGGAAGCCUGAUGCAGCAACGCCGCGUGAGGGAUGACGGCCUUCGGGUUGUAAACCUCUUUUAGCAGGGAAGAAGCGAAAGUGACGGUACCUGCAGAAAAAGCACUGGCUAACUACGUGCCAGCAGCCGCAGUAA
rnacentral:rRNA from 1 species